rnacentral:rRNA from 1 species
UGGGGAAUAUUGGACAAUGGGCGCAAGCCUGAUCCAGCCAUGCCGCGUGAGUGAUGAAGGCCUUAGGGUUGUAAAGCUCUUUUAGCAGGGAAGAUAAUGACGGUACCUGCAGAAAAAGCCCCGGCUAACUUCGUGCCAGCAGCCGCGGUAAUACGAAGGGGGCUAGCGUUGCUCGGAAUUACUGGGCGUAAAGCGCACGUAGGCGGACUCUUAAGUCGGUGGUGAAAUCCUGGAGCUCAACUCCAGAACUGCCUUCGAUACUGGGAGUCUUGAGUUCGGGAGAGGUGAGUGGAACUGCGAGUGUAGAGGUGAAAUUCGUAGAUAUUCGCAAGAACACCAGUGGCGAAGGCGGCUCACUGGUCCGAUACUGACGCUGAGGUGCGGAAGCGUGGGGAGCAAACA